rnacentral:rRNA from 1 species
AGAGUUUGAUCCUGGCUCAGGAUGAACGCUAGCGACAGGCCUAACACAUGCAAGUCGAGGGGUAUAGUAGCAAUACUAGAGACCGGCGCACGGGUGCGUAACGCGUAUGUAACCUGCCUCACACUGGGGGAUAGCCUUCCGAAAGGGAGAUUAAUACCGCAUAAUAUUGUUUAUCUGCCUGGAUAGACAAUUAAAGCUUCGGUGGUGUGAGAUGGACAUGCGUAUGAUUAGCUAGUUGGCGGGGUAACGGCCCACCAAGGCGACGAUCAUUAGGGGUUCUGAGAGGAAGAUCCCCCACACUGGUACUGAGACACGGACCAGACUCCUACGGGAGGCAGCAGUGAGGAAUAUUGGUCAAUGGGCGAAAGCCUGAACCAGCCAUGUCGCGUGCAGGAAGACGGCCCUAUGGGUUGUAAACUGCUUUUGUAUGGGAAGAAACGACGGUACGAGUACUGUUUUGCCGGUACCAUACGAAUAAGGAUCGGCUAACUCCGUGCCAGCAGCCGCGGUAAUACGGAGGAUCCAAGCGUUAUCCGGAUUUAUUGGGUUUAAAGGGUGCGUAGGCGGGAGAUUAAGUCAGUGGUGAAAGUUUGCGGCUCAACCGUAAAAUUGCCAUUGAUACUGGUUUUCUUGAGUACAGUUGAGGUAGGCGGAAUGUGGUGUGUAGCGGUGAAAUGCUUAGAUAUACCACAGAACACCGAUUGCGAAGGCAGCUUACUAAGUUGUGACUGACGCUGUAGCACGAAAGCAUGGGGAUCAAACAGGAUUAGAUACCCUGGUAGUCG